UCUUUGUUGGCUGUGGGAUCUUCUGGAAACAAAGCACAGAGCAAGGCUGAAGGAGCAAGACCUCCACAGUGCAGCUAAACAGCCAAAUGAGUCUCCCGCAAGUCAGGAAAACUGGAUAAAAAGAGGCCUAAAUGUGAGCAAGAGCUAUCAUGUUUGGCUUCAAGUAUGUAAGUCCAAUCUGGUAACAGACCCUUUCCCAUUCAUUGUUAGCAUAUUCACUGGGAAGCAGCAUGGGCCAGGAACUAAGGGCAACAAUGAGCUGUGUGACCUUAGGCAAAUUACUUAACUUCUCUGUGCUUCAUUGUUCUAGUUAUAAAAUGAAAUAAAUUAAAUGAAAACUAUAUAAUGAAUUAUAUAAUAUAAUGAGGUAUAUAAUAUACAAUGAAAACUAUAUAAAUGAAAAAUAUAUAGUACAAAUAUAUAAUAUAUAAUGAAACAUAUAUAAUGAAAAUAUAUACACGAAAAAUAUAAUAUAAAUGAAAAAGUAUUCAUUAAAAGAAAAUAAAUUAUGGCCCAAAUGUUUUUGAAAAACUAUACCUUAAAAACCCCUAUUUUGUUUAGAAUGUACAUUCCUGGUUCAAAAUGGUCGCGUGAGAAACCUAAGAAACAGGCUGCUUUCAAGCAUUUAUUUCAUACUUCAGAACUCAAACAUAUUUAUAAUCCAACCCUCUUAUACAGUCACUUAUCCAUGUCCUCAUGUUUACAAAAUAUAGCUAUUCAGAGGCACUUUGUGUUUUCAAAGUUUCAACCUCUGACUAUAUAUCUUUCAUUUGAAAAUUAAGGUAGAUUUAAAAAUUCAACUUAGUUUACAAUUCUGUCCUUUGCAUUUAAGACCUAAAACAGGGUUGUGGCCAUUAAACUGGUUCUUUCAACACAGCUAUGUUAACUACAUUAAAAGAGCCAUGUCAGCAAGUGGCAGUGUUAAUUACCAGCUUGCCCAGCCACCACUGCUUUGCUCGACAGUUUUACUAUGUUUAAAAAUAAAAGGUUCAGAUGUGGUGUGACAAAGCUCUCCUGACAAAAAGGAAGCAAAUACGGAGGCAAGAGAGGGGCCAGUUGGGUCAUGCCACAGUCUUCUGUGGGAUUUUGUCAAUAUAUUAGCAGGAAAGGAGCAGGAGCUGGUAGGGGCAACUGGGAUGGAUAGAGGAGCUGCUGAAGACUCUCUGGGAUGACAGGAAAUAGUACAAAUUCCAGACCUUCUUUCACCUCCUAUUUGUGUAUUUCAACCUACAGAAUCAACUACCCAGAUAACUACAGAAAUUCACACAUGAUAAAAAUGCAAUAUAAAAUCUCUACUUACACUAAAGAACUUACUCAUGUAACCAAAUACCACCUGUACCCCAAUAACUUAUGGAAAAAAAAAACUCUACUUAAGCAUAAUAGACUAUAAAACAAGUCGUUUAGCCAUUUCCUUUUUGAGGAAAUAAAGCCUUAAGCUCUGUCAAGGUAGAGUCUGAACUGCACUGCUCAUGUCGGCUCAAUGACCAUUGGUUGAAAUAAUUAGCUAAUUUGGUGAAUUUUCUAAUUAUGCUCUUCUAGGAGUGGAACUGCUAGAAUUAGCAUGUCUCUAAAAGUCAGGCCACCACUUAAUUGUGGCACUGUAUUGCUUUUAAGAUUGCGUGAAUUUUAAAAAUGAAUAAAAGCAAUAGCUGUGUCCCAGACUCUCUCGCUUUCACUUUCAAAUAUUAUAACUUCAGAGAAUUCCACCCUGGCUAGAACUGAAACAGAAACUACAUAAUGCCAUUUAAAAAAAAAUGAUUGUAUUUGUACAUAUUUCUUAAACCAGAUUUCAUAGAGUAAGAGAAAGAACUAAAGAAAGACUGAAGUUCAUAUCAGGAGUGUCAGUCUUGGAUGAUCUGAAAACUUUUAAUUAUCUUCUUUUUUAUCAUUUCUCUCACUCCCCCUAAACCAUCCCUUCCUUCCUUCCCACUUUAUUGGAGACGCAGGAUCAAAUAUAAAGUCCUUGCUCCUGUGGAGCAUACAUUCGAGUGGUAAGAGAAAGACAAUAAAGAUGCAAACAAAUAGUUAAAUAAUACAAUUUGAAUUAGUGAUACGUGGAAAAUAAAAUGAACACUGGGACAGAGAGUGACUAGGUGGUGGGAGUCGGGAAGUGGGAAGCAUCUUUGAUUACAGAGGUCAAGGAAGACUUCUCUGAGGAGGUGACAUCUGAUUAACAUCUGAAUAAAGAGAAGGAGUCAGUCACGUAAGGAUCUGGGGAAAAGAACAUUGCAGAUAGUGGGAACUUAUACAAGAAAUUGGCAAGCUCUGAUUUCUCUUCUUCAAAUUUUAUCGUCCUGAUUAAAUUCUCUUCCCCUGCAAACCCAGCCCCAGGUUUCUUGUAACACAGCAUGUAACAGUCUUCCCUCAGCCCCAGUGCCUAGCAUAAAUGCUAGCACAGAGUGGGGGUUAAUAAAGAGCAAUGGUUAUGUA
rnacentral:lncRNA from 1 species